CUCUUCCGCUACUAUGGUUGCC
rnacentral:siRNA from 1 species